rnacentral:rRNA from 1 species
AGGGUUCGAUUCUGGCUCAGGAUGAACGCUGGCGGCGUGCCUAAUACAUGCAAGUCGAACGAGGUAGCAAUACCGAGUGGCGAACGGGUGAGUAACACGUAGGUAACCUGCCCUUAAGCUUGGGAUACCCAGAGGAAACUUUGGCUAAUACCGGAUAACAACAGAGAAGGCAUCUUCUUUGCUUGAAAGGCCCCUUCAAGGGUCACUUAAGGAUGGACCUGCGGCGCAUUAGCUAGUUGGUGAGAUAACAGCCCACCAAGGCGAGGAUGCGUAGCCGAACUGAGAGGUUGAUCGGCCACAUUGGAACUGAGACACGGUCCAAACUCCUACGGGAGGCAGCAGUAAGGAGUUUUCGGCAAUGGGGGAAACCCCGACCGAGCAACGCCGCGUGAGCGAUGACGGCCCUAUGGGUUGUAAAAAGCUCUGUUGUAAGCCAUGAAUGAUAGCUAUAGGAAAUGAUAGCUAUUUGACGACAGCUUACCAGAAAGCCACGGCUAACUACGUGCCAGCAGCCGC